rnacentral:rRNA from 1 species
GCUCAGUAACACGUCGAUAAUCUGCCCUUAGGUCUGGAAUAACCUUGGGAAACUGAGGCUAAUACCGGAUAGAGGAUUAAUUCUGGAAUGAAUUUUCCUUUAAAGAUUACGCCUAAGGAUGAGUUGGCGACCGAUUAGGUUGUUGGUGGUGUAACGGACCACCAAGCCGAAGAUCGGUAGGGGCCUUGAAAGAGGUAGCCUCGAGAAGGGCACUGAGAUACUGGCCCUAGCCCACGGGGUGCAGCAGGCGCGAAACCUUUACACUACACGAAAGUGUGAUAAGGGGACUCUAAGUGCUUAUGCUUUGCAUAGGCUUUUGCCAAAAGUAAAUAUUUUGGCGAAUAAGUGGUGGGUAAGACGGGUGCCAGCCGCCGCGGUGACACCUGCGCCACGAGUGGGAACCACUUUUAUUGGGCCUAAAGCGUCCGUAGCCGAUCAACUAAAUUUUCUGUGAAAUUGUUAAGCUUAACUUAACGGUGUGCAGAAAACACUAGUUGAAUUGGAACUGGGAGGAGUCAGAAGUAUGUUUAGGGGAGCGGUAAAAUGCUAUAAUCCUAGACAGACUACCUGUGGUGAAAACGUCUGACCAGCACAGAUUCGACGGUGAGGGACGAAGCUAGGGAGCAUCCCGGAUUAGAUAC